ACUCCUACGGGAGGCAGCAGUCGAGAAUCUUCCGCAAUGGACGAAAGUCUGACGGAGCGACGCCGCGUGAAGGAUGAAGGCCUUAGGGUUGUAAACUUCUGUCAGAUUUCAAAGAAGGGGNGGAGGCGAAACACCUGUCUCUUGACAUUAGGAUCAAAGGAAGCACCGGCUAACUCUGUGCCAGCAGCCGCGGUAAUACAGAGGGUGCAAACGUUGCUCGGAAUCAUUGGGCAUAAAGCGCACGUAGGCGGUCGCGUAAGU
rnacentral:rRNA from 1 species